rnacentral:rRNA from 1 species
GAUCAUGGCUCAGGAUGAACGCUAGCUACAGGCUUAACACAUGCAAGUCGAGGGGCAGCAUGAACUUAGCUUGCUAAGUUUGAUGGCGACCGGCGCACGGGUGAGUAACACGUAUCCAACCUUCCGUUUACUCAGGGAUAGCCUUUCGAAAGAAAGAUUAAUACCUGAUAGUAUGGUGAGAUUGCAUGAUAACACCAUUAAAGAUUUAUCGGUGUACGAUGGGGAUGCGUUCCAUUAGGUAGUAGGCGGGGUAACGGCCCACCUAGCCAACGAUGGAUAGGGGUUCUGAGAGGAAGGUCCCCCACAUUGGAACUGAGACACGGUCCAAACUCCUACGGGAGGCAGCAGUGAGGAAUAUUGGUCAAUGGACGAGAGUCUGAACCAGCCAAGUAGCGUGAAGGAUGAAGGUCCUACGGAUUGUAAACUUCUUUUAUAAGGGAAUAAACCCUCCCACGUGUGGGAGCUUGUAUGUACCUUAUGAAUAAGCAUCGGCUAACUCCGUG